rnacentral:rRNA from 1 species
UACGAAGGGGGCUAGCGUUGUUCGGAAUUACUGGGCGUAAAGCGCGUGUAGGCGGACAAUCAAGUCAGGUGUGAAAUCCCCGGGCUCAACCUGGGAACUGCAUCUGAAACUGGUUGUCUUGAGUGUCGGAGAGGGAAGCGAAAUUCCUGGUGUAGAGGUGAAAUUCGUAGAUAUCAGGAGGAACACCGGUGGCGAAGGCGGCUUCCUGGACGACAACUGACGCUGAGACGCGAAAGUGUGGGUAGCAAACAGG